rnacentral:rRNA from 1 species
UACGUAGGGUGCAAGCGUUGUCCGGAAUUAUUGGGCGUGAAGAGCUCGUAGGCGGUUUGUCGCGUCUGCCGUGAAAGUCCGGGGCUCAACUCCGGAUCUGCGGUGGGUACGGGCAGACUAGAGUGAUGUAGGGGAGACUGGAAUUCCUGGUGUAGCGGUGAAAUGCGCAGAUAUCAGGAGGAACACCGAUGGCGAAGGCAGGUCUCUGGGCAUUAACUGACGCUGAGGAGCGAAAGCAUGGGGAGCGAACAGG